rnacentral:rRNA from 1 species
UUGCUCUUAUGAAGUUAGCGGCGGACGGGUGAGUAACACGUGGGUAACCUGCCCAUAAGACUGGGAUAACUCCGGGAAACCGGGGCUAAUACCGGAUAACAUUUUGAACCGCAUGGUUCGAAAUUGAAAGGCGGCUUCGGCUGUCACUUAUGGAUGGACCCGCGUCGCAUUAGCUAGUUGGUGAGGUAACGGCUCACCAAGGCAACGAUGCGUAGCCGACCUGAGAGGGUGAUCGGCCACACUGGGACUGAGACACGGCCCAGACUCCUACGGGAGGCAGCAGUAGGGAAUCUUCCGCAAUGGACGAAAGUCUGACGGAGCAACGCCGCGUGAGUGAUGAAGGCUUUCGGGUCGUAAAACUCUGUUGUUAGGGAAGAACAAGUGCUAGUUGAAUAAGCUGGCACCUUGACGGUACCUAACCAGAAAGCCACGGCUAACUACGUGCCAGCAGCCGCGGUAAUACGUAGGUGGCAAGCGUUAUCCGGAAUUAUUGGGCGUAAAGCGCGCGCAGGUGGUUUCUUAAGUCUGAUGUGAAAGCCCACGGCUCAACCGUGGAGGGUCAUUGGAAACUGGGAGACUUGAGUGCAGAAGAGGAAAGYGGAAUUCCAUGUGUAGCGGUGAAAUGCGUAGAGAUAUGGAGGAACACCAGUGGCGAAGGCGACUUUUCUGGUCUGUAACUGACACUGAGGCGCGAAGCGUGGGGAGCAAACAGGAWUUAGAUACCCUGGGUAGUYCACGCCGUAAACGAUGAGUGCUAAGUGUUAGAGGGUUUCCGCCUUUAGUGCUGAAAGUUAACGCAUUAAGCACUCCGCCUGGGGAGUACGGCCGCARGGCUGAAACUCAAAGAG